rnacentral:lncRNA from 1 species
GGGUUUAAAUCUUCCCUCAAAUCUUUCCCUUUUUCCUCCAUAAAAUAAGGGUUUAUGUCAAUUUCCAAAUUCUUUAUCCAAAAUGACAAAAGUCUUCCUUUUAAUUCACUUUCAUUACUUUAAAGAUUAGGGUUAUUUGCAUAUAUUAGAUUCAGAUAUACAUAUAUGUUUGUUGACUUUAUUAUUGAGCAGGAAGAUUUGGGGUUUCUUGUUUUGUUCAUUAUUUGGGCUUGUGGUUUAGUUUGAGCAAGUGGGGUCUGGUUUGAUUGUGAAAAGAUCUAAACUUGGUGGGUGAUUUGACGAGUUACAUGGAUAUCCAGCAUGUAAAGCUUUUCUUUUCUUAUUUUUUUUCUUUAGAUCUGAAAUAUUAUUAUAUAAAGUAUUAGUUAGAAGAUUAUGUUGCAGAAUCUUGCAGAUGGUUGUUAAUCGUAUGCCACAGAAUCGAGGAAGAAAGAUGGGUGGUAAUGGUGAAGCACAGAGGUUACAAGCUUAGGGAGAAGGGGGGUGUCGACUUGAGAAUGGGGAUAUUUUUUGUUGACUUGUUUUUUUUAAAAAAAAAAAAACUAUUUUUAAUUAAGUUAGUAAAAUGACUAAACUACCCUUAAUUGAUCAGACUUAAUUGAAAAUUUUAACCUAGUUAGUACAAAAAGACUUAGAGUGUAAUGCUUUUAACAAAAAAAGGAUUGUGACUGUAAUUAUUGAAGUUAAAGGUCAUCCAUUGCAAUCUAAUACAAACAUAAAGGACGAAAAGUGUAAUUUACCCUUAAAAAAAUAAAAAAAACAUAAAAGUGGUGGGGGUAGGAUCAUCUAGGACCAUCCUCCAUACCCUCUACUUUUGUGGGAUGGACCAUCCUUGGGAGGACUAUGACGUGGCGCCUACGUGGCCAGUGGCGGAUCUAGGAUUCACGUCAAGCCGUAACGUUUUAUAAAUAAGCCGUAACGAAAUCGAAAAAAAACAUCAAAUUUUUCCAAAAUUUACACUAAAAACGUCAAAUUUUUCCGAGCCAAGCCGUAGCGGAGGUUACCCCCCGGUAACCUCUAGGUCCGCCCCUAUACGUGGCGGAUCAUCCUCCCUUGGAGGACCAUCACCAUACCCUCUAGCCUUAUGUUUAUAUACUUUUUGUAUUUUUAUAAUUUUAAUAACUUCAUUCGGUUUUAGACACUCUAAGCAGUAAAUCGGUUGAUAGAUCGGUAUAAUGAUUAAUCCGAUUUUACAUGAUAUGGUAAAAUAUACAAGAGGUGCUGCCACAAAUGGUUCAAAAAGGGUUAAGAUUAAAGUUAAAACAGCUUUUUUACUUAUUUUCUUAUAGUUUUAUUGCUUCAGUAAAGAAUUUAAAAGGGAUUUUUUUUGGUAAUUAUUCAUGAUUACAAACUAGAUGCUCUUGUUGAAAAUAACAAGUUAAAGUUUAAAAGCUAUUGAAUUCCAAAAGGAGGCAUAUAAUAAGGUUCUUCGAAGUCCAACAAUGCAUCAUGGCCUUUAAAGUGUGAAUAUCUAUUGUUAUAAAAUACAUAACUAUAAGUUAUUAUAAUAAUAAUUUUAUUCAAUAAACUCUUCAAAUUUAGUACUAGUUGAAGAGUUUAUUGAAUAACUUAUAGUUAUGUAUUAAAGUAAAACAUUAUAAAACAUGACAAGGAUUACUUUUGGUAUAAGAAUAUAAAUUGUGUGUUAAAAAC